rnacentral:rRNA from 1 species
UAGGGAAUCUUCCGCAAUGGGCGAAAGCCUGACUGAGCAACGCCGCGUGAGUGAUGAAGGUCUUCGGAUCGUAAAACUCUGUUAUUAGGGAAGAACAAAUGUGUAAGUAACUAUGCACGUCUUGACGGUACCUAAUCAGAAAGCCACGGCUAACUACGUGCCAGCAGCCGCGGUAAUACGUAGGUGGCAAGCGUUAUCCGGAAUUAUUGGGCGUAAAGCGCGCGUAGGCGGUUUUUUAAGUCUGAUGUGAAAGCCCACGGCUCAACCGUGGAGGGUCAUUGGAAACUGGAAAACUUGAGUACCGAAGAGGAAAGUGGAAUUCCAUGUGUAGCAGUGAAAUGCGCAGAGAUAUGGAGGAACACCAGUGGCGAAGGCGACUUUCUGGUCUGUAACUGACGCUGAUGUGCGAAAGCGUGGGGAUCAAACAGG